CACGGGGGGAGCAAGCGUUGUUCGGAAUCACUGGGCGUAAAGGGCGUGUAGGCGGUCAGGUAAGUGAGAUGUGAAAUGCCCCGGCUCACCCGGGGACCGGCAUCUCAUACUGCUUGGCUUGAGUACGGGAGAGGAUGUGGGAAUUCCUGGUGUAGCGGUGAAAUGCGUAGAUAUCAGGAGGAACACCGGUGGCGAAGGCGCACAUCUGGCCCGA
rnacentral:rRNA from 1 species